rnacentral:rRNA from 1 species
GAUGAACGCUGGCGGCGUGCCUAAUACAUGCAAGUCGAGCGAACAGAUAAGGAGCUUGCUCCUUUGACGUUAGCGGCGGACGGGUGAGUAACACGUGGGUAACCUACCUAUAAGACUGGAAUAACUCCGGGAAACCUGGGCUAAUGCCGGAUAACAUUUAGAACCGCAUGGUUCUAAAGAGCAAGAUGGUUUUGCUAUCACUUAUAGAUGGACCCGCGCCGUAUUAGCUAGUUGGUAAGGUAACGGCUUACCAAGGCAACGAUACGUAGCUGACCUGAGAGGGUGGUCAGUCACACUGGAACUGAGACACGGUCCAGACUCCUACGGGAGGCAGCAGUAGGGAAUCUUCCGCAAUGGGCGAAAGCCUGACGCAGCAACGCCGCGUGUGUGAUGAAGGUCUUCGGAUCGUAAAGCUCUGUUAUUAGGGAAGAACAAAUGUGUAAGUAACUGUGCACGUCUUGACGGUACCUAAACAGAAAGCCCCGGCUAACUACGUG